rnacentral:rRNA from 1 species
UACGUAGGAGGCGAGCGUUGUCCGGAAUUACUGGGCGUAAAGAGCGCGUAGGUGGCGCGAUACGACCGGUGUGAAAUCCUCCGGCUCAACUGGAGGGGGUCACUGGUAACGGUCGUGCUAAGAGUGCAGGAGAGGGACGUGGAACUCCGGGAGUAGCGGUGAAAUGCGUAGAGACCCGGAGGAACACCAGUGGCGAAGGCGGCUAACUGGCCCAUUACUGACGCUGAGGCUCGAAAGCGUGGGGAGCAAACAGG